rnacentral:rRNA from 1 species
AUUGAACGCUGGCGGCAUGCCUUACACAUGCAAGUCGAACGGUAACGGGCCUUCGGGUGCCGACGAGUGGCGAACGGGUGAGUAAUACAUCGGAACGUGCCCGAUCGUGGGGGAUAACGAGGCGAAAGCUUUGCUAGUACCGCAUACGAUCUACGGAUGAAAGCAGGGGACCGCAAGGCCUUGCGCGGACGGAGCGGCCGAUGGCAGAUUAGGUAGUUGGUGGGAUAAAAGCUUACCAAGCCGACGAUCUGUAGCUGGUCUGAGAGGAUGAUCAGCCACACUGGGACUGAGACACGGCCCAGACUCCUACGGGAGGCAGCAGUGGGGAAUUUUGGACAAUGGGCGCAAGCCUGAUCCAGCCAUGCCGCGUGCAGGGUGAAGGCCUUCGGGUUGUAAACUGCUUUUGUACGGAACGAAAAGCCUUCUUUUAAUACAGGAGGGUCAUGACGGUACCGUAAGAAUAAGCACCGGCUAACUACGUG